rnacentral:lncRNA from 1 species
GUUGGAAGCAACCUUUGGACUGUGUGACCAACACCAUCUUGUUCUGGAUAAGAAACUCCACAGGUCGAGCAGCCCGUUGUAACAGGACAGGGAUUUGAACCCCUGGGAUCCAGGCGAAGCACUGGCCCCCUACAAUGAGAACCUGACUCUCCACCUGGGCCUCAACCUAAGACACAAAGUGGUCAGAAGAGUGACGUUUACUUCCUGUGUCAAAGCCCUGUCUGGUGCACUUUCAAACACAGUCAAAGAGCCUUGAGCUUCCAAGACCCACUGCUGAGGUUGGCCUAGCAGAGACAUGUAGGCUUCUCUCAUGACCAGCAGCUAGUUUGAGAUCCAUCUGUGCCCCACACAAGGUCUACGGCUUGAGAAUUAUCAGCGGGGGAUGGUUCAGUGGAAGAAUGCAUGCCUGGCAUGUGCUAGGCCCUGGGUUCAAUACCCAGCACCACCAGAAAAAUAAAUAAACAGGAGUUAUAAGUACCUUUCGAGCAAGUUAUAGUCAUCACCUAUGGGAAAGUAAAAAUAAAGAGGUUAUUUUAUAAAAUCCUAACUGUGACAGUCGUCCUUAUGUCUACUCAGAAUCUUUUGCUUUGGAUAUUGUGAAAGAUGUCAGAGGAUGAGAAAAGAAGCUGGAUGUGGUGGCAUGCAAGAGCAAUUCCAGUAAUUUGGAAGGCUAAAGCAGGAG